UUAUACGACCGUACCGCAAACCGACACUGGUGCGCGAGAUGAGUAUUCUAAGGCGCUUGAGAGAACUCAGGAGAAGGAACUCGGCAAAUUGACACCGUAACUUCGGAAGAAGGUGUGCCCUAUUAGUGUGUAGUGAACAACGAAGCAUGAAUGGGUUGCAAAAAAUCGGUGGCUGCGACUGUUUAUUAAAAACACAGCACUCUGCAAACACGAAAGUGGACGUAUAGGGUGUGACGCCUGCCCGGUGCUGGAAGAUUAAAUGAUGGGGUGCAAGCUCUUGAUUGAAGUCCCAGUAAACGGCGGCCGUAACUAUAACGGUCCUAAGGUAGCGAAAUUCCUUGUCGGGUAAGUUCCGACCUGCACGAAUGGCGUAACGAUGGCCACACUGUCUCCUCCUGAGACUCAGCGAAGUUGAAAUGUUUGUGAUGAUGCAAUCUCCCCGCGGAAAGACGGAAAGACCCCAUGAACCUUUACUGUAGCUUUGUAUUGGACUUUGAACAGAUCUGUGUAGGAUAGGUGGGAGGCUUUGAAGCAGGGUCGCUAGAUCUUGUGGAGCCAACGUUGAAAUACCACCCUGGUGUGUUUGAGGUUCUAACCUAGGUCCAUUAUCUGGAUCGGGGACAGUGCAUGGUAGGCAGUUUGACUGGGGCGGUCUCCUCCCAAAGCGUAACGGAGGAGUUCGAAGGUACGCUAGUUACGGUCGGACAUCGUGACGAUAGUGCAAUGGCAUAAGCGUGCUUAACUGCGAGACUGACAAGUCGAGCAGAUGCGAAAGCAGGACAUAGUGAUCCGGUGGUUCUGUAUGGAAGGGCCAUCGCUCAACGGAUAAAAGGUACUCUGGGGAUAACAGGCUGAUACCGCCCAAGAGUUCAUAUCGACGGCGGUGUUUGGCACCUCGAUGUCGGCUCAUCUCAUCCUGGGGCUGUAGCCGGUCCCAAGGGUAUGGCUGUUCGCCAUUUAAAGAGGUACGUGAGCUGGGUUUAAAACGUCGUGAGACAGUUUGGUCCCUAUCUUCCGUGGGCGCUGCAGAUUUGAGGAAGCCUGCUCCUAGUACGAGAGGACCGGAGUGGACACACCUCUGGUGUAUCGGUUGUCACGCCAGUGGCAUUGCCGAGUAGCUAAGUGUGGAAGAGAUAACCGCUGAAAGCAUCUAAGCGGGAAACUCGUUUCAAGAUGAGAUCUGCCGGGGCCUUGAGCCCCCUAAAGAGUCGUUCAAGACCAGGACGUUGAUAGGUCAGGUGUGGAAGCUAAA
rnacentral:rRNA from 1 species